AUCACAUUGCUAAUCCUUGCUUAACGUAUCUGUCCAUAGUGCUAUGUUGUGCAUGUGACUUGCAAAUUUCAGAGCUCUAGGUGACAACACACUACCCUCUACUUAAUUACUUACACUAAUUUAACUUCUUUUAGCUCUUCUUAUUGUUGUCCCUCAAAUCUUUUACUUCCAUGUUGGCUACGGCUAACUCUAUCCAUGGAACUUGAAGUACCCUCUUCUUUCUUUGUUGCUAGUGUCUUGGAUUUCCUUGGUAUGCACUUUGCCCGCACCGAAUCUUCCUCAUGCUCCAUGAUUUGCAACCGGGAACCACUGCAAAAGGUAGAGUUUAGACUAAACCAUAAUAUCAAACAAUUCUAGUUUUAAUAUAAUAUGCAAAACUGCAAGUGCUUGAUUGAUUAUAUAUAUAUAUAUAUCCAUAGCCGAAUAAUCCCCUAUCGUAUAUAUAUAAGGCAAUCAGAACAAAGUCUAUAAUGAAAUAUCUGAAAUCAAAUGUACAAUUCAAGUACUCAUUUCAUUGGGCCCCGACCAAAAUUCCUUUUUUUAUUCACACACCUCCCACUGAUUUAGGGAUGCAAUUUGGUAAGUUAAUCUAUGGAAAAUGAAUGAACUCUUUGGAUGCUUUUAACUGGACUCCAUGCAUACACAGUAUCUGACAACUAUCUGGGACCAGAGUAAAAGGCUAGAGAAAUCAAUAGUUACAUUAACUAAAUUAAAAGGUAUACAAUUUAUUCACCAUUCAUAUGGGUCAAAGAUGUAACAAACUUCAGAUUCAAUGGCAAACCAAAUUUAUGUAUAAUGUACUAAAAUUAAAAUAACAUAACCCAUGAGCCAUUAGAUUUGUAGUUAACUUCAGAGAAUUGUUUUAGAAUAACUUAUAAUGUUCUAAAUUAGGACCACUUCUGAAUGUCUGUUUUACAGGAUAUGUUUGAAUGUCUGUUUCUGAAAAUGAACUAAAUGUCAUUGAAUUAUUGUACAAUCAUCUAACAUAAGUUUUUAAACUUUUCUAAAUGUAUCUCAAUUAUUAGACAGAUCAUUCCACAGUACUAGAUUUGAAUCUAGAGAUUGAAUCCUAAUUGAAGCAAACAUUAACUAAACUUCACAUAAGAUCAUACUAAACAAGCAGAGAUUAGAGAUUUAGAGUUUCAUCCUAAUCUGACCACAAAACUAUAUUAGUAGUACUAUAUACAGUAAUAGUAACAUGAUAAUUUUAAACCUAUAAUCUGACCACAUUAAUAUUGUACUACUAUUAUAGUAUUAUAUUAGUAUAUUAUAUAUUCAACUCCAACAACAUUAUUUUUAUAUGAUCUUCAAUCUCAAGAUGCUUAACCACUAAUUUUAUUCAACCAAUGCAGCUUAAUUAAUUGAAACUAUGAUAUGAAUGUCAAUGUCUACAGUCUCCAAUGUUGCUAAUUACUAGACAGCACAAACUUUAUUCCACUAAAGGAUUUUAACGAUGUGCAUCACGUGUAUUGCUAGGAUUUAGUUAGUAACAUCUCUUUUAAAUAUAGUUUUGUUAAGUCAGUUCAGUUAGAUACGAAUGAAUAGUACACUAAAUUCAAUAGAAGAAAAAUAAGUUUAUGUAAAAAUUG
rnacentral:lncRNA from 1 species